UUGCUUCAACAACACACAUACUAAAGUUGGAACGAUUCAGGGAAGAUUAGUGUGGCCUCUGUGCAAGGAUUACAGGCAAAUUUGAGAAACAUUUCAUAUUUUU
rnacentral:snRNA from 1 species